UUUUAUGGAGAGUUUGAUCCUGGCUCAGAGUGAACGCUGGCGGCGUGCCUAAUACAUGCAAGUCGAACGAUGAAGCUUCUAGCUUGCUAGU
rnacentral:rRNA from 1 species